GAGGCAGCAGNNGGGAAUAUUGCACAACAGGGGCAAGCCUGAUGCAGCAACGCCGCGUGAGUGAGAAGGCCUUCGGGUCGUAAAACUCUGUCCUAUGGGAAGAAAAGAUGACGGUACCAUGGGAGGAAGCCCCGGNUNACUACGUGCCAGCCGCCGCGGUAAUA
rnacentral:rRNA from 1 species